rnacentral:tRNA from 1 species
UGAUAAAAGAGGAAUCGAACCCCCUGGACAAGUUUACAGCCUGCCGCCUAGCCACUCGGCCAUUUUACC